rnacentral:tRNA from 1 species
GGGCCUAUAGCUCAACGGUUAGAGCAGAAGACUCAUAAUCUUUUGGUUCCAGGUUCGAAUCCUGGUGGGCCCACCA